rnacentral:lncRNA from 1 species
GUUUAGGAGAAAGUGGAGGAAAUCGUCUGUGUUUUCCGCAAGAAGGAGCUCUGUUCCUCCGGAAAAAGGGUGACCCUGGCGCUGCAGUCGCAGCCGCAGCCUCUCUCGUAUAUCCCGCGACUGACGUCGGGUGGUCGGUCUACCGGAAAAAAAGCAACAGAGGUUCCAAAUUGAGGAAUUCCUGUCAGACGUGUGUCGCGUCUUGCCGAUGGCCGAGCAACUCGCACUAAAAUGCGUGCCUUUCGGUCCAACACAGACGUUCUCGUCGUGAAACAACUCGCUGCGAACAGCAGGCGCCAGACCGCAGGUGACCCUGCGUGUCUGUACAACGCCCCAGCCAGACUCAGUUCUCGAGUCUGUGUGGAUGGCUGUUUCGGAAAUUGGACGGAGGGAUUCGAGCUGUGAAUCCUGUCAGGAACUCGACGAGAAUAUGGCGGCAUCGAAGCGAGAACAAUCAAGGACUCGGGGAGGGGAAUCCUAGCUGGUGUCACCAAAGUUCAGACCCACGCGCCACGAGCUUUAACCACGGACAACAAGAGGACUUUUUCCUAGAGCUUCGAAACACAACGCCACGCUUCGUGGAGAGCAGAUGCGUUUUAUUGAAAUUACGGGCACAGUCGGACCAUCCUUGGCCAUUCAUUUUAAGAGUUAAAGAGUCAUUUGCUUUUCGCUUCUACCGUUACAUUCAGGAGGAUGCGGACCAAGAGGAAAAGGUGUGCCUUCGCCGUGCAUUUUCUCGUGGCUUACUGGAAACACAGAAGCGACAGCGUCUUCGUCGAAACAAGUUGGCCUCCUGGUGUAGAUCUUUCACGUUUUUGGUUACCGAGUCCAAGUUCUGUUCUGUUGACACGGCUUCGAGGACCGGCGCCUACACAUGGCUAGUGUUUUCUGCCUUUAUGCUGGUCUGGAACCUUCGUGACUGAGAUGCAGCGGAUCAUUUGUAC